rnacentral:rRNA from 2 species
CGACCCCAGGAUGGGCGGGAUGACCCGCUGAGUUU